CGUAGGGCGCAGGCGUUGUCCGGAAUUAUUGGGCGUAAAGAGCUCGUAGGCGGCUUGUCACGUCGGGUGUGAAAGCCCGGGGCUUAACCCCGGGUCUGCAUUCGAUACGGGCUAGCUAGAGUGUGGUAGGGGAGAUCGGAAUUCCUGGUGUAGCGGUGAAAUGCGCAGAUAUCAGGAGGAACACCGGUGGCGAAGGCGGAUCUCUGGGCCAUUACUGACGCUGAGGAGCGAAAGCGUGGGGAGCGAACAGGAUUAGAUACCCUGGUAGUCCACGCCGUAAACGGUGGGAACUAGGUGUUGGCGACAUUCCACGUCGUCGGUGCCGCAGCUAACGCAUUAAGUUCCCCGCCUGGGGAGUACGGCCGCAAGGCUA
rnacentral:rRNA from 1 species